rnacentral:rRNA from 1 species
AGAGUUUGAUCCUGGCUCAGGACGAACGCUGGCGGCGUGCCUAAUACAUGCAAGUCGAGCGGACAGAUGGGAGCUUGCUCCCUGAUGUUAGCGGCGGACGGGUGAGUAACACGUGGGUAACCUGCCUGUAAGACUGGGAUAACUCCGGGAAACCGGGGCUAAUACCGGAUGGUUGUUUGAACCGCAUGGUUCAAACAUAAAAGGUGGCUUCGGCUACCACUUACAGAUGGACCCGCGGCGCAUUAGCUAGUUGGUGAGGUAACGGCUCACCAAGGCGACGAUGCGUAGCCGACCUGAGAGGGUGAUCGGCCACACUGGGACUGAGACACGGCCCAGACUCCUACGGGAGGCAGCAGUAGGGAAUCUUCCGCAAUGGACGAAAGUCUGACGGAGCAACGCCGCGUGAGUGAUGAAGGUUUUCGGAUCGUAAAGCUCUGUUGUUAGGGAAGAACAAGUACCGUUCGAAUAGGGCGGUACCUUGACGGUACCUAACCAGAAAGCCACGGCUAACUACGUGCCAGCAGCCGCGGUAAUACGUAGGUGGCAAGCGUUGUCCGGAAUUAUUGGGCGUAAAGGGCUCGCAGGCGGUUUCUUAAGUCUGAUGUGAAAGCCCCCGGCUCAACCGGGGAGGGUCAUUGGAAACUGGGGAACUUGAGUGCAGAAGGGGAGAGUGGAAUUCCACGUGUAGCGGUGAAAUGCGUAGAGAUGUGGAGGAACACCAGUGGCGAAGGCGACUCUCUGGUCUGUAACUGACGCUGAGGAGCGAAAGCGUGGGGAGCGAACAGGAUUAGAUACCCUGGUAGUCCACGCCGUAAACGAUGAGUGCUAAGUGUUAGGGGGUUUCCGCCCCUUAGUGCUGCAGCUAACGCAUUAAGCACUCCGCCUGGGGAGUACGGUCGCAAGACUGAAACUCAAAGGAAUUGACGGGGGCCCGCACAAGCGGUGGAGCAUGUGGUUUAAUUCGAAGCAACGCGAAGAACCUUACCAGGUCUUGACAUCCUCUGACAAUCCUAGAGAUAGGACGUCCCCUUCGGGGGCAGAGUGACAGGUGGUGCAUGGUUGUCGUCAGCUCGUGUCGUGAGAUGUUGGGUUAAGUCCCGCAACGAGCGCAACCCUUGAUCUUAGUUGCCAGCAUUCAGUUGGGCACUCUAAGGUGACUGCCGGUGACAAACCGGAGGAAGGUGGGGAUGACGUCAAAUCAUCAUGCCCCUUAUGACCUGGGCUACACACGUGCUACAAUGGACAGAACAAAGGGCAGCGAAACCGCGAGGUUAAGCCAAUCCCACAAAUCUGUUCUCAGUUCGGAUCGCAGUCUGUAACUCGACUGCGUGAAGCUGGAAUCGCUAGUAAUCGCGGAUCGGCAUGCCGCGGUGAAUACGUUCCCGGGCCUUGUACACACCGCCCGUCACACCACGAGAGUUUGUAACACCCGAAGUCGGUGAGGUAACCUUUUAGGAGCCAGCCGCCGAAGGUGGGACAGAUGAUUGGGGUGAAGUCGUAACAAGGUAGCCGUAUCGGAAGGUGCGGCUGGAUCACCUCCUU